rnacentral:rRNA from 1 species
CUGUAAGCCUGCGAAGGUGUGCUGUGAGGCAUGCUGGAGGUAUCAGAAGUGCGAAUGCUGACAUAAGUAACGAUAAAGCGGGUGAAAAGCCCGCUCGCCGGAAGACCAAGGGUUCCUGUCCAACGUUAAUCGGGGCAGGGUGAGUCGACCCCUAAGGCGAGGCCGAAAGGCGUAGUCGAUGGGAAACAGGUUAAUAUUCCUGUACUUGGUGUUACUGCGAAGGGGGGACGGAGAAGGCUAUGUUGGCCGGGCGACGGUUGUCCCGGUUUAAGCGUGUAGGCUGGUUUUCCAGGCAAAUCCGGAAAAUCAAGGCUGAGGCGUGAUGACGAGGCACUACGGUGCUGAAGCAACAAAUGCCCUGCUUCCAGGAAAAGCCUCUAAGCAUCAGGUAACAUCAAAUCGUACCCCAAACCGACACAGGUGGUCAGGUAGAGAAUACCAAGGCGCUUGAGAGAACUCGGGUGAAGGAACUAGGCAAAAUGGUGCCGUAACUUCGGGAGAAGGCACGCUGAUAUGUAGGUGAAGUCCCUCGCGGAUGGAGCUGAAAUCAGUCGAAGAUACCAGCUGGCUGCAACUGUUUAUUAAAAACACAGCACUGUGCAAACACGAAAGUGGACGUAUACGGUGUGACGCCUGCCCGGUGCCGGAAGGUUAAUUGAUGGGGUCAGCGCAAGCGAAGCUCUUGAUCGAAGCCCCGGUAAACGGCGGCCGUAACUAUAACGGUCCUAAGGUAGCGAAAUUCCUUGUCGGGUAAGUUCCGACCUGCACGAAUGGCGUAAUGAUGGCCAGGCUGUCUCCACCCGAGACUCAGUGAAAUUGAACUCGCUGUGAAGAUGCAGUGUACCCGCGGCAAGACGGAAAGACCCCGUGAACCUUUACUAUAGCUUGACACUGAACAUUGAGCCUUGAUGUGUAGGAUAGGUGGGAGGCUUUGAAGUGUGGACGCCAGUCUGCAUGGAGCCGACCUUGAAAUACCACCCUUUAAUGUUUGAUGUUCUAACGUGGACCCGUAAUCCGGGUUGCGGACAGUGUCUGGUGGGUAGUUUGACUGGGGCGGUCUCCUCCUAAAGAGUAACGGAGGAGCACGAAGGUUGGCUAAUCCUGGUCGGACAUCAGGAGGUUAGUGCAAUGGCAUAAGCCAGCUUGACUGCGAGCGUGACGGCGCGAGCAGGUGCGAAAGCAGGUCAUAGUGAUCCGGUGGUUCUGAAUGGAAGGGCCAUCGCUCAACGGAUAAAAGGUACUCCGGGGAUAACAGGCUGAUACCGCCCAAGAGUUCAUAUCGACGGCGGUGUUUGGCACCUCGAUGUCGGCUCAUCACAUCCUGGGGCUGAAGUAGGUCCCAAGGGUAUGGCUGUUCGCCAUUUAAAGUGGUACGCGAGCUGGGUUUAGAACGUCGUGAGACAGUUCGGUCCCUAUCUGCCGUGGGCGCUGGAGAACUGAGGGGGGCUGCUCCUAGUACGAGAGGACCGGAGUGGACGCAUCACUGGUGUUCGGGUUGUCAUGCCAAUGGCACUGCCCGGUAGCUAAAUGCGGAAGAGAUAAGUGCUGAAAGCAUCUAAGCACGAAACUUGCCCCGAGAUGAGUUCUCCCUGAC